ACGGUAAAGUUUUGACAAAAAGGUCAGCUUCUUCAGGGCAACGGAAUAGUUUUGGCUUUCCAUCCACUGUGACUCUCAGUGUACAGGGGUACAGCAAAGAGUAUUUAAUAUCAGCAGCACGGAGGAUCUUCUUGACAGCAUCAAACUCUCGACGUUUCUUGACCAAACCAGCACUGAAACCAGGGUAAAUAUGAAUGCGAGUGCCGCUGUAGGUUAGCACCUCUUUUGCCCUUGCCAGACGUAGGAUCUUUACUUUGUCCUGGAAAUGCAAGAACUUAACCAAGAUGGGUCUAGGAGCAGAUCGAGCAUUGGAGCCAAAAAUAGGAGUGCGGUGAGCCCUUUCAAUAACCGGCAUAGUGGAAAAGUUUUCACAUCCCAGAAGCAAUGGAAUCAUCUUGUUCAUGAACACAAUCAUAUCUCUUCCUUCACUUUUCUCUGGAACACCAAUAAAGCGAAGGUUGGAUGACCGGUUUCUAUUCUCUGCAUCUUCCACUUUGUCUUUCAAGUAGGCAUUUUCUUUUUCAAGAGUUUGUACACGUUUAUUCAAAUCAUCAACAUUGUCUUCAUUCGAACUCACCCUUUGUUCAAGCUCAGAAAUUUGCUCACACAAUGAAUUCAAAGAUCCUUGAAUAUUUUGAAGUCCUGUUUGAAUGGUCUCAGUCUUUGAGUCAAAGUGAGCAGUCAUUUCAGUUUUAAACUGCUUAAUUGCAUCCAAUAUUGUUUGGAGGGAAGCCUCAGCCACAUGAUCCAUUGUGUGAACCAAACAAUUGUCUGCACAAGGCAAAACAAAGCUUCCACAACAGCAAAUAUCCAACAAAAGUCAAAUAUUAAGUUAAUAAACUAAAAAAUAAACAUAAACUGAUCAAAAGAACCAAUUAAUACGGGCCCACAUGGGAAAAGCAGACUAAACCCAGCAGCAAGCACUCAAGGUAAUCCAGCCAUGGCGGCCAUUUUGAGACCAGUUUGGUCUGACUAGUUUGCAGUAGUAGAUUUUUUAAGUAAAAUGUCCUCAGUCUAAUCAUGUUGUGCAUAGUUGAAAUCAGUUUAAUAAGUUUAAUAAGAAUGCAGAAUGUCUUUGUAAUUAGCAAAUGAGGCUUAAUUUUUACUGGACUGGACUGGAACGUUCAUAUGGGUUAACUUCUCCCGUCCGAUGACUGCUGGGAUAGGCUCCAGCCACAAAUAGGAUUAAAUGGGUUUGACGAUGAAUUAAUGGAAUUUUUUAAAAUACAUAUCAACUAACUCUGAAUCUGGAUAAAGAGAUACGCCUUGAGCAUGUGAGUAAAGCAUCAACCUGAUAGUUAUGAUGCAAAACCUGUAGAGUAUAUAUUUUAUUGAUAUUCUUUAACUCACAGGACUUACUGGCAUGGAGGGCAUUAAGGGCACAACAAGAUGAGGAAUUUCAACAAUGUGUUCUGAUAGACAGAGAACAAGAAAUGAGGCGUAGACAAGUUUGUGAACUGGAGAGGCGCAGAAGACAAAAAAUAGGUGAACGAAGGCAGAGAUUGAGUUUGGUCCUUGAGCCAGUUAAAGUUUUCAGAUGGUCAGUUGCAGAGGAGAAGAUUUUUGACUUCACAGCCAUUCCAGGAUUUGGUGGCAUUUGCAGGUGUCAAUGACAUGGCCAGUGAAGUAUUUUCAUUACAGCUGGCCAUGUCACCAACACCAAUGUUAAGCACUUUGACUGGCACU